GCUGUGGUGGCUCAGUGGAUUGAGUGUUGUCCCAUAGACCAAGAGGUCCUGGGUUCGAUUCCCAGUCAGGGCA
rfam:Myotis brandtii contig280579, whole genome shotgun sequence.